AUGUUAUUUUUGGGGUCUGGAUUGGAUGAGAUUGUGGUUGAUGAGGAGUGUGAUGUUGUUGAGCUUAGGGAAUGAAAAUUGGGGGUGUUGUUGUGGGUGUUGUUGUGGGUGGUGGUAGAUACGGCGGAGGUGGGUGAUUGACCCGUGGUGGUGGAUAUAGCAGCGGUGGGUGCGUGAUUUCAGAUUUUCUUUUCUUUUCUUUUCUUUUUUUUCUUUUUUUUUUUGUUGAGUGUUGAUGUUGAUAAAUCAUUAAUUGGAGCACAAUCACAUUUUUCUUUUUGCUAUCAUUUUUGCUUCUUGGUUGUUUGAUGUUUUGCAGUGCAUUGGUAUGUUACUUUGCUCCAUAUCAUGGUUAAUUUCAGAUUUCAGAUCCUCAACAAAUAUGACUGGGCUAAGGGCUACAAGUAAUUAUAAGGGAUUUGUUUCUAAAGCCAAUCUUCAUGUAAUGCCUACGAAAAUGCUAGAAACUCAAAACAAGGGAAUGGUGAACUAGCAGGGAUAUUGAAGAAGGAAAUGCUAGAAACUCAAAUGCCUAAGAAACAAGAUUAGUUGAUUUUAUCCCUCAGCAUUGUGAGGUACCUUUGUUUUGGGGUCAGAUUGCUACAAUCUUAAAUAGAGGCGGGCAACAUAUCUUUCUUGACAUACAGCUUGCUAUAUGGUGAAAAUUAUUUUGGAAGCAGGCAUAACUACCUUAAGUUGGAUUUUGCUCCUAGAUUCUCGAUGUAAGGAUGCCUCUGUGUUUGAACAAGAUUAAUACUCAGUUCAAUUACCGAUCUCUAGCUUUAACCAGUCUUUGCCACAAGUUUCCUCAAUUGGGCAGCAGCAAAUAUCACAAUUGCAAAGGCCAUUUCAAUCACCACAAGAGUUACCAUCUUACAUGCAAACACAGACGCCACUCCAGCAACAUGGUCAACUACAAAUUCCUCAGUCUGCGGGUCAAACCCCCAUCAGUUAGGCAUUGAUUGGUUUGGGUGGACAGUUAUUUGUUUCUUAGCCUCAGGCCCAACAGAAUGCCUCAUCUGCACAAGAAACCCCAAUGAAUACUAACUUACGUCCACAUCAUCUGUCCGCCGUAGCAAAUGAACAGCUUCCACUCCAACAAUCAACUUCUCAGUUUGCUCAGAUGCUGUCACAACAGAAGCAAACACUACAUGCAAGCUUUCAAUCAUCUCAGUAGGCUUUCUCUCAGCUUUAAUAACAAUUUCAGUUGAUGCAACCUUCAAAUCAAAAUCUGAUGUCACAUCAGCUUUCUUAGGCUACCAAACAGCAGAAAAAUUUAUGAAGGCAAUGGAAGGGUUGUGCUGGUCAAUUAGUGAGUGUUCCAAGAAAUGGAGAGCGAGCACAAGGGCUUAUAGAACAAGCCCGUAAAGAUGCCACUCAAGUUGUUGCAAAUUUACAAAGACAAGAAGUUCAAUCACAGCUGAUUGCUUGUGAUUACUAGGAGGCAAACAUAGAGCUUUUCCCCCUAUUUCUAUAUAUAUGUCAUAGUUAUAUAUGGUAAUACAAACAUUUUAUACUAGUAACAAUCAAAGUCGUUAUUCCUUUUCUAUUGAUGCAGGAGAUGAAGAGUCAGUGUGAUGAGAAAAUGUCCGAUUUUGUCUUUUGUAAGACAAGAACAGUCUAUACAAAAAUAGUAAGUUUGUUCAUAUGCUUCUAGCGGUUGAUGAAUUAAUUUGUGUUUUUAUUUUUCAGGUCAGAAAUGUCCUGGAGAGAUGC